UUCAAAGAUUUUAAUAGGUGACUUUUUGAAAAUGAAAAAACUAUCUCAACAAAUUUAGAGAUUUUAUUAAACUCAAGUAAGGUUCUCGAAGUAGGAGCAUUCUGGGCAUAAAGGGAUUUUAAAAGACCAACAUAGAAGAACUCCGACCUUCGCAGAGCUCUGGCCGGACUAUUAAAGAAAAUCCUCUCAAGAAGGAUCGGACAGUCAACAACCCCACGGAUUAAGUCGAAAAUGACAGAUAAAGAUAGGACUAUUCUCCUGACUUGCAAUGAUUUUAAGUUGACCAAUAAGCAUCGCGCUUCAUAUGUAGGGAUAGGAUCCGAAAAGCGUAAAUUACCCAACGCGAAAUGUAAGAAUACUUUCUAGAUUCGUUCAAUUUUAGCAGCAUGGCACGAAUAAUACGGAGACCAAAUGAAAGAUGCAUACUCCAGUUUGGAACGGACAAAUGUCGCAUACAAAAGCUUCAGCGUAUAAGGGUCGGAGAAAUCGGUGCUAUGAUGCCUAACAAAAACAAGCAUGGGGUGUUCUCGAAAUGUAAUAAGAGGAGUCAGUAAUGGAAAAGAGUCGAGGGACCUAGUAAUCGUCAAUAAAUCUCGUCGUCUGCAUGAACCAGGAAUCUUGCUGACGAGAAGCAAGAGUGAAUAUCAUUGAUAAACAGAACAAAAAGAAGCGGGUCCAGAAUACUACCUUGCGAAACCCUAGAGCAAGCAAACGAAAGGAAGAGACCUAACGUUGUCGACGACGACCAAACAAUGGCGAUUCUUAUUAUAUGGGAAACCCGCUCAAAGGCCUUAGAGAAGUCGGUAUAAACGGUGUCAAUCUGGUGUCCUGGUUGGAAGGCAGCGUUACAAUCAUCCGGACGCACCAUGUUCUUGACAGCAAAAAUCAAUUUGUCCUGGAUGAUCAUACAAAAAGCUUUGUAGUGGCGAAAAGCUUUGAAAUGGGCCUUUAGUUAUUAAUAUCAUUUUUAUUACCACUCUUGA